GCCGGGCGCGGUGGCGCGUGCCUGUAGUCCCAGCUACUCAGGAGGCUGAGGUGGGAGGAUCGCUUGAGCUCAGGGGUUCUGGACUGCAGUGUGCUGUGCCGAUCGGGUGUCCACACUAAGUUUGGCAUCAAUAUGGUGACCUCCCAGGAGCGGGGGACCACCAGGUUGCCUCAGGAGGGAUGACGUGGCCCAGGUCGGAAACGGAGCAGGUCCAAACGCCCGUGCUGAUCAGUAGGGGGAUCGCACCUGUGAAUAGCCACUGCACCGCAGCCUGGGCAACAGAGUGACACCCUGUCUCU
rnacentral:SRP_RNA from 1 species